rnacentral:tRNA from 1 species
GCGCCCGUGCUGGAAUUGGUAGACAGGCCAGGUUGAGGGCCUGGUAUUCAUUACGAAUGUGAGCGUUCAAGUCGCUCCGGGCGCA